ACUGAGUUAAAAAGAUCCUCCCUGAUUUAAAAUUAAAGUUCCCACUUUCCCAGCUUAUUUUUCUCUGGGCAAGUAUCUGACAGAAGCAACAAGGUUCUAAUACAGUCAUGUACCUGUAUAUAAAGACUGCCUUGUUCAAAAUGCCAGGCGAAGAAACUCAACAGAAACUUGACAUUUUGUGAACAUGUUAAGUAAAAACUUUAAUUUAAUAAUUUUAAUUUUAUGAGGUGAUUUCUUUUAAUAUGGGGUCAUGCAACUCUUUUACAAAUUAUCCUUAUGGCUUAUUUUUUGUUGUUGUUGUUUGUUCGUUGUUAUGUAAAUCUGCCAUUAAAUUGUAAUAAAUAAAUAAAUAGAUAAAUAACUGACUACAUGUAUUUGAAUAUUUUGAUAGCUCUUGAAUCAAUCAUUGAAAGCUAAGUUGUAUAGCCCUUUGUCAAAGCCACGACAAGAGCAGAAUACUGGUACUAAUUACAACAAAAUCACAAACAGGCAGUAAAUGUAAUUAAUGCACCUGGAUGGAACAUUACUUGUAAGCAGUUGAUAUAAAAAUGCUGACUAUGAUGUGCCUGGAGGUGGGUUCUUGCAGCCAGUGAAAAGGAAGCAAAACAUUACAUCAGAUAAUAGAUAUAAUAUGAAUAAUUAUAUAUAACCUUAAAUCUGCAUAUACAAAUAAUCCCAGAACAGGUAAGCGUAAGCUUGUAUCGUUCGCAAUACCCAUGUAUAAUAUUAUAAAUAAUAAUAAAAGAUUUGUCACGACA